AUUCUAUCUAUCGGUGCUACUUCGAAUCCCCUGAACACUAGUCACAGCGCAAUGAUUUUCGCGAGCACGGCCUCAGGCCUCAGCCUUGACAACAGACCCAUAAUUCCGAGGAAAACGCGCAAAAAACGCGUGAGAAGUCCUCGGUAACCGGGCCCCGGGGUCUGAUACUGCCGGAGGGGCACAUCAGGUUUCGUACCUAUUUGUUUGGGAAAGACUGUGAUACUUACAAAGGUAGCAGUUUGCUGAAUACUGCUGAUUUAGAGAUGAUUAAGUUUAUUCUAACUUUUGGAGCCGGCGUUUACGCUGGCAUCUACGCCUGCCAAAAUUACAAUAUCCCGCGGGUCGAUGAUCCAUCAGAAAUAAUGGACAAAGUUCGAGAGUUCACCGACAAAUACAAGAAGAAUUGAUAUGGAGCCGUUUUAGCACCUGGCUGGUGCAGCAGCCGGUGAAGGACCGUGGAGUCUGGUCCGAAGCCGACCGCACCAGCCAGCCGUCAGACCCCGUGUAUUCCAGUGUGGCAGAUCAGUCAACUGCCGGAGACAGCGCCCCGAUCGAAUGAAGCUCCUGCCGUGAUCACCGCCGCGUAUAUAAACACUGUUUGGAACUAUGACGUGUAUUUUCAUGUAAAUAGAGCAGUAUCCACUGACGAA